ACAUGGGCGGAGAGAGCAGAAAACCCUGUGAUCAACAAAUGAAGCAAGACGUCCACUGCCCAUGACUGAAACAAGCUGAAGCCACCUGGUUGGAAAGGAAAUGAAAUGAAGCUUGGGAGCAAGACCCCGUGAAUGUAUCUGCCAUGGCUGCAGGGGUGCCUCUGCUUUGCCAUCCACCCUGGGAACACAGCUGAUGGACUCUGCUCUCGGCCACUGUCCUGGAGGGAC
rnacentral:lncRNA from 1 species